rnacentral:rRNA from 1 species
AUUGAACGCUGGCGGCAGGCCUAACACAUGCAAGUCGAACGAGCGGCGGACGGGUGAGUAAUGUCUGGGAAACUGUCUGAUGGAGGGGGAUAACUACUGGAAACGGUAUCUAAUAUCGCACACCAUCAGCUGUGCCCAGAUGGGAUUAGCUAGUAGGUGGGGUAAUGGCUCACCUAGGCGACGAUCCCUAGCUGGUCUGAGAGGAUGACCAGCCACACUGGAACUGAGACACGGGCCAGACUCCUACGGGAGGCAGCAGUGGGGAAUAUUGCACAAUGGGCGCAAGCCUGAUGCAGCCAUGCCGCGUGUAUGAAGAAGGCCUGCGGGUUGUAAAGCACUUUCAGCGGGGAGGCGUUACCCGCAGAAGAAGCACCGGCUAACUCCGUGCCAGCAGCCGCGGUAAUUC